rnacentral:tRNA from 1 species
GGUGGCUCAGUGGUAGAGCGCUUGCCUUCAUGCAUGAGGCCCUGAGUUUGAUUCCUCAGCACCA